rnacentral:lncRNA from 1 species
CGGCGAGCAACCGUACCGGCGAGGUUACCAUCCUCUGCUUCCCCUUCUCCCCGUUACCAUUCAUCGUUCCGUUCUUGCCGAAGCUAACCUGGACGGGCGGUCUCGACGACAUCCCCGCCUUCGACGACGCCGCCACCGCCGCCUUCUGCUACCCCAAGCGGUCGUUCCCAACCCCACAGGAUUCACCUCUCUGCUACCCCAUUGUAUUCACGUUAUUCUAUUUUUUUAUUCUUUUUUUCAGAUGAAUCCUUCAAAGAGGGAGCAGGUUAUUGAUAGUCUCAGGCAGCUUCUGGGUCGAUCAAUGUGAGUUUUGGUAUCCAGCAUGAAACUGCACUGCCCUGACUGAAAAAAAUUAUACUCUGACACUGAAACUUAAGUUUUAGCUUGCCGACAAUUCAAUGGGUUGGGAGCUGAUGAAAUGAUCCAUGAAAAGCUACGCCAGUAGUGCAUCCAGAAAAUUAGGGGUGGGAGUGUGAACUCAAGGGUGUUAAGAUAU